AGGGAUCAUUAAAGUUUUCCAAACUUAACCCUUGUGAACUCGUUUCUAACCACCGUGAGAACAGUAUGGACAAGUCCUUCGAGCGGGGAAAACAGUUGAGUGAAUGAUUGUGCAUUCGUUUCAACUCGCUCCUUGUCUGCCUUUGUUUCACUGAGGCUAAUUGCUCUUGCGCUUUUUCCCAUUUUUUUAUCAUUACACUUUGUAACACAAUGAAUAAACAAAGUAUGGUCUAACAGCCAUCCUUUUGAAAUAAGAAAUUUAUAUGCAACUCUUAGCAACGGAUAUCUUGGCUCCU
rnacentral:misc_RNA from 1 species